CCCCCUAACCUUGCCCUUCUGCCCUUUGUGGAUUCUCCUAUAUUGCUGUUCCCCAAUCCCACCCGCAAGGGGCGCGCGAGAUGAAACAGUUCUGUCCUGGGAUAUACCACUGAGGGGUAGCGGUAAGACCACCCACUCUGAAAGGUACCAUUGGGAGAGGGCCUGUGACAACAGAGACAGGGUCUCCUUACACCGCGUUGGCACGGACCGCAGUUCCCUGCAGCGGCACUCAUGGCGCCACUGAGUCCAUCCCCGUUUGCUCCUCUUCAUCUUCCCACUGCUUUCGAAUCCGAGUGGACACAGGACCAGCAACCCAGUGUUGAGCAACCUCAACAAGAGAAACCACCAGCUGAGAUUCAGGAUAUCACACCUAGACAGGAGGAAGUACAUGGAGAGGAUCCAGUGAAUCGUGAUGAAGAAGAGGAGAAGGAUCCCUUUGAAGGUAAAGUGUAUCUGUGCGUCAUGCCUUAA
rnacentral:lncRNA from 1 species